GAUGAACGCUGGCGGCGUGCCUAAUACAUGCAAGUCGAGCGAACAGACGAGGAGCUUGCUCCUCUGACGUUAGCGGCGGACGGGUGAGUAACACGUGGAUAACCUACCUAUAAGACUGGGAUAACUUCGGGAAACCGGAGCUAAUACCGGAUAAUAUAUUGAACCGCAUGGUUCAAUAGUGAAAGACGGUUUUGCUGUCACUUAUAGAUGGAUCCGCGCCGCAUUAGCUAGUUGGUAAGGUAACGGCUUACCAAGGCAACGAUGCGUAGCCGACCUGAGAGGGUGAGCGGCCACACUGGAACGGUGACACGGUCCAGACGCCUACGGGAGGCAGCAGUAGGGAAUCUUCCGCAAUGGGCGAAAGCCUGACGGAGCAACGCCGCGUGAGUGAUGAAGUUCUUCGGAUCGUAAAACUCUGUUAUUAGGGAAGAACAAAUGUGUAAGUAACUAUGCACGUCUUGACGGUACCUAAUCAGAAAGCCACGGCUAACUACGUG
rnacentral:rRNA from 1 species